rnacentral:misc_RNA from 1 species
GUGAAUAUUAGCGCAUCUACUUGUAGAACGUGACCUCCACUUUCUAACUCUGUGCAUUUAUUGGCGGAAGGACUUGAGCAAUCGAGUUUCCUUCUGCGGCUCAUUUUAAAACACUAGUUAAAGUAUGUAACGAAAUAUCGAAACAAAAA